CUGGUGCUCGCGUGGGCCACGUCAC
rnacentral:miRNA from 1 species